rnacentral:misc_RNA from 1 species
GGUAUCACUUUUCACGAUACCUAAAAGGUGGAAUAGCGAUUUUCGAACCAUUUCCUAUAAGAGAAAGGUUUCCAUUACUUUGAGAAAUGGAUUCUAUAUCAAACUAUAGCUAUUGCAUUAAAGAAGAAAAGAAACUAAUAGAAGUUGAAGACGCGGAAUGGUAGUGAAUAGAGAGAAAGAUUCUUCUGGUUUUCUUGUUCCUGAAAAUAUUCUAUCUAUCUCCUAGACGCCGUAGAGAAUUGAGAAUUUUCAUGUCUUUCAAUUCUCGUACUCGUAAUUGGAAAGUUACGGAAGGAGAUCCAUCAUUUUGCAAUGAAAACUACAUAAAAAACUCUGGACAAUUUCGAAAUCAGACCAAGCGUCUUAAUACAUAUGCAAAAAAAUUCAUUAUUGGCCCACCAUUGAUUAGAAGAUUUAACUUGUAUGAAUCGCUAUUGGUUUGAUACGAAUAAUGGCAGUUGUUUCAGUAUGUUAAGGAUACAGAUGUAUCCACAAUUCAUUUAGAGUUACUUA